rnacentral:rRNA from 1 species
GAGAACUUUCCAGAGAUGGAUUGGUGCCUUCGGGAACUCUGACACAGGUGCUGCAUGGCUGUCGUCAGCUCGUGUCGUGGGAUGUUGGGUUAAGUCCCGUAACGAGCGCAACCCUUGUCCUUAGUUACCAGCACGUAAUGGUGGGCACUCUAAGGAGACUGCCGGUGACAAACCGGAGGAAGGUGGGGAUGACGUCAAGUCAUCAUGGCCCUUACGGCCUGGGCUACACACGUGCUACAAUGGUCGGUACAAAGGGUUGCCAAGCCGCGAGGUGGAGCUAAUCCCAUAAAACCGAUCGUAGUCCGGAUCGCAGUCUGCAACUCGACUGCGUGAAGUCGGAAUCGCUAGUAAUCGUGAAUCAGAAUGUCACGGUGAAUACGUUCCCGGGCCUUGUACACACCGUCCGUCACACCAUGGGAGUGGGUUGCUCCAGAAGUAGCUAGUCUAACCGUUCGGGAGGACGGUUACCACGGAGUGAUUCGAUGGACUGGGGUGAAGUCGUAACAAGGUAGCCGU